rnacentral:rRNA from 1 species
CCUACGGGGGGCAGCAGUGAGGAAUAUUGGUCAAUGGACGAGAGUCUGAACCAGCCAAGUAGCGUGAAGGAUGACUGCCCUAUGGGUUGUAAACUUCUUUUAUAUGGGAAUAAAACGUUCCACGUGUGGGAUUUUGUAUGUACCAUAUGAAUAAGGAUCGGCUAACUCCGUGCCAGCAGCCGCGGUAAUACGGAGGAUCCGAGCGUUAUCCGGAUUUAUUGGGUUUAAAGGGAGCGUAGGUGGAUUGUUAAGUCAGUUGUGAAAGUUUGCGGCUCAACCGUAAAAUUGCAGUUGAAACUGGCAGUCUUGAUUACAGUAGAGGUGGGCGGAAUUCGUGGUGUAGCGGUGAAAUGCUUAGAUAUCACGAAGAACUCCGAUUGCGAAGGCAGUUCACUGGACUGCAACUGACACUGAGGCUCGAAAGUGUGGGUAUCAAACAGGAUUAGAUACCCUUGUAGUC